ACUUGGAACCAUUUCGUCCUCUCUCUCUCUCAUAUCUUCUCUUACUUUCCACAAUCGCCCUCUCUAUCUCAUCUCAAACCUGUAACUCUCUCCCCCCUCAAGCUCGAAACCAUUUCGUCGUCGCGAAGCCUCUGGUAAGCCUAUUUCGUCGCCUUUCUCUCAUCUCAAAUCGUGCCCGCAACAUUCAAAAUAAGUAUGUUAAAGGUCAAGAGAGAUCUCAUGUCGAAUGAGAUGCUAAAACUCGGUCAACAACUAGAGUAUUUGCAAGAUUGUUAAGAAAAAGGGUCUCAAUUCCAGCUUGAAGAGAGACAGAGAGAGAGAGAGGGGGAAGAAAGAGAGAGAGCGGGGCACAAAGGACUUGGGUUUCGACCUGCAGGAGAGAGAGAGAGGGAGAGAGAGAGACCAGACUAGGAAAAUAGAGUUGAUCUAUAUUUAUUUUGAUAUAAUCGCUCUGUAAUUAUGCUAGGCUACAUACGUGUCACCCUCUCAUUGGAAGUUGUAAAUCUUAUUUAUGCACCGCGUCUGGUUUGUAGGGCCUCUCUUUAUAAAAACACGGAGCGAGCGCCCUCUUUGCUGAAUGUUGCCCCUUCCUUGGAGGAGGUGAAGGCCCUCUCGCAUCUUGACAAAAAUGGAUGAGUUUAUCGUGAUCUUUUCUUUAUUUUAAAAAUUAAUUAAA